AAUAUUGGGACAUACAAAAAAAGACAACUCUGUUCCGCAGAGUAGCUGUUGACAUUACAGUUGCGCAGGCACUUUGUUGACUCUAGAGAACCUCAGGCCAAUCGCACAUCCCCGUGACAGCGACUUUGCAUUCGGAUGUCAUCCAUAUCAACUUUCGAUGUCAGUUUCUGCACUUACCAUGGUGACCACGGGUAACGGGGAAUCAGGGUUCCAUUCCAUACAGGGACCCUGAGAAAUGGCUACCACAUGCAAGGAAGGCAGCAGACGCGCAAAUGACCCACUCCCGACGCGGGAAGGUAGUGA